rnacentral:snRNA from 1 species
GCCAUUAGAAUGAUACAGAGAUGAUUAGCAUGGUCCCCUCCACAACGAUGACACGCAAAUUUGUGAAGCAUUCCAUAUUUAA